rnacentral:rRNA from 1 species
ACUCCUACGGGAGGCAGCAGUGGGGAAUAUUGCACAAUGGGCGAAAGCCUGAUGCAGCAACGCCGCGUGAAGGAAGAAGGGUUUCGGCUCGUAAACUUCUAUCAAUGGGGAAGAAACAAAUGACGGUACCCAAAUAAGAAGCCCCGGCUAACUACGUGCCAGCAGCCGCGGUAAUACGUAGGGGGCAAGCGUUAUCCGGAAUUACUGGGUGUAAAGGGAGCGUAGGCGGCAUGGUAAGCCAGAUGUGAAAGCCCGAAGCUUAACUUCGAGGAUUGCAUUUGGAACUAUCAAGCUAGAGUACAGGAGAGGUAAGUGGAAUUCCUAGUGUAGCGGUGAAAUGCGUAGAUAUUAGGAAGAACACCAGUGGCGAAGGCGACUUACUGGACUGAAACUGACGCUGAGGCUCGAAAGCGUGGGGAGCGAACAGGAUUAGAUACCCUGGUAGUC